GUGGCGCAACGGAUAACGCGCCUGUUUACUGAUCAGGAGAUUCCCGGUUCAAACCUGGUGGGUCG